rnacentral:tRNA from 1 species
AUCCCUCCACUUCUACCAAACAAUGGUUCAGUCGCAGAUAAGGUAAUGCAAGGGUUUCAUAAGCCCUAUGAAUGUG